rnacentral:rRNA from 1 species
UACGUAGGUGGCUAGCGUUGCUCGGAAUCACUGGGCGUAAAGGGUGCGUAGGCGGGUCUUUUAAGUCAGGGGUGAAAUCCUGGAGCUCAACUCCAGAACUGCCUUUGAUACUGAGGAUCUUGAGUUCGGGAGAGGUGAGUGGAACUGCGAGUGUAGAGGUGAAAUUCGUAGAUAUUCGCAAGAACACCAGUGGCGAAGGCGGCUCACUGGCCCCGAUACUGACGCUGAGGCACGAAAGCGUGGGGAGGCAAACAGGG